AUUGAACGCUGGCGGCAGGCUUAACACAUGCAAGUCGAGCGGAGAUGAGGUGCUUGCACCUUAUCUUAGCGGCGGACGGGUGAGUAAUGCUUAGGAAUCUGCCUAUUAGUGGGGGACAACAUUCCGAAAGGAAUGCUAAUACCGCAUACGUCCUACGGGAGAAAGCAGGGGAUCUUCGGACCUUGCGCUAAUAGAUGAGCCUAAGUCGGAUUAGCUAGUUGGUGGGGUAAAGGCCUACCAAGGCGACGAUCUGUAGCGGGUCUGAGAGGAUGAGCCGCAACACUGGGACUGAGACACGGCCCAGACUCCUACGGGAGGCAGCAGUGGGGAAUAUUGGACAAUGGGGGCAACCCUGAUCCAGCGAUGCCGCGUGUGUGAAGAAGGCCUGCGGGUUGUAAAGCACUUUAGGUGGGGAAGAAAGGUAAAUACCUAAUACGUAUUUACAUUGACGUUACCCACAGAAUAAGCACCGGCUAACUCUGUGCCAGCCGCCGCCGUAAAAC
rnacentral:rRNA from 1 species